rnacentral:rRNA from 1 species
AUUGAACGCUGGCGGCAUGCUUUACACAUGCAAGUCGAACGGUAACAGGCCUUCGGGUGCUGACGAGUGGCGAACGGGUGAGUAAUGCAUCGGAACGUGCCCAGAGGUGGGGGAUAACGCAGCGAAAGCUGUGCUAAUACCGCAUGUGAUCUGAGGAUGAAAGCGGGGGACCAGGCAGCAAUGUUUGGCCUCGCGCCUUUGGAGCGGCCGAUGUCAGAUUAGGUAGUUGGUGGGGUAAAGGCCUACCAAGCCGACGAUCUGUAGCUGGUCUGAGAGGACGACCAGCCACACUGGGACUGAGACACGGCGCAGACUCCUACGGGAGGCAGCAGUGGGGAAUUUUGGACAAUGGGCGCAAGCCUGAUCCAGCAAUGCCGCGUGCGGGAAGAAGGCCUUCGGGUUUUAAACCGCUUUUGUACGGAACGAAAAGGCUCUGGCUAAUACCUGGGGCUGAUGACGGUACCGUAAGAAUAAGCACCGGCUAACUACGUG